rnacentral:rRNA from 1 species
AGAGUUUGAUCCCGGCUCAGGAUGAACGCUGGCGGCGUGCUUAACACAUGCAAGUCGAACGAGCCUUCGGGCUAGUGGCGGACGGGUGAGUAACGCGUGGGAAUCUGCCCUCAGGAGGGGGAUAACGGCCGGAAACGGCCGCUAAUACCCCAUAUGCCGAGAGGUGAAACAAAAUUCGCCUGGGGAUGAGCCCGCGUCUGAUUAGCUAGUUGGUGUGGUAAUGGCGCACCAAGGCAUCGAUCAGUAGCUGGUCUGAGAGGAUGAUCAGCCACACUGGGACUGAGACACGGCCCAGACUCCUACGGGAGGCAGCAGUGGGGAAUUUUCCGCAAUGGGCGCAAGCCUGACGGAGCAACGCCGCGUGAGGGACGAAGGCCUCUGGGCUGUAAACCUCUUUUCUCAAGGAAGAAGACAUGACGGUACUUGAGGAAUAAGCCACGGCUAAUUCCGUGCCAGCAGCCGCGGUAAUACGGGAGUGGCAAGCGUUAUCCGGAAUUAUUGGGCGUAAAGCGUCCGCAGGCGGCCUUGAAAGUCUGUUGUUAAAGCGUGGAGCUCAACUCCGUUUCAGCAAUGGAAACUACAAGGCUAGAGUGUGGUAGGGGCAGAGGGAAUUCCCGGUGUAGCGGUGAAAUGCGUAGAUAUCGGGAAGAACACCAGUGGCGAAGGCGCUCUGCUGGGCCAUAACUGACGCUCAUGGACGAAAGCCAGGGGAGCGAAAGGGAUUAGAUACCCCUGUAGUCCUGGCCGUAAACGAUGAACACUAGGUGUCGGGAGAAUUAACCCUUUCGGUGUCGUAGCCAACGCGUUAAGUGUUCCGCCUGGGGAGUACGCACGCAAGUGUGAAACUCAAAGGAAUUGACGGGGGCCCGCACAAGCGGUGGAGUAUGUGGUUUAAUUCGAUGCAACGCGAAGAACCUUACCAGGGUUUGACAUCCUGCGAAUCCCUUGGAAACUUGGGAGUGCCUUCGGGAGCGCAGUGACAGGUGGUGCAUGGCUGUCGUCAGCUCGUGUCGUGAGAUGUUGGGUUAAGUCCCGCAACGAGCGCAACCCACGUCUUUAGUUGCCAGCAUUCAGUUGGGCACUCUAGAGAGACCGCCGGUGAUAAACCGGAGGAAGGUGUGGAUGACGUCAAGUCAUCAUGCCCCUUACAUCCUGGGCUACACACGUACUACAAUGCUACGGACAAAGGGCAGCAAACUCGCGAGAGCUAGCAAAUCCCAUAAACCGUGGCUCAGUUCAGAUCGUAGGCUGCAACUCGCCUACGUGAAGGAGGAAUCGCUAGUAAUCGCAGGUCAGCAUACUGCGGUGAAUACGUUCCCGGGCCUUGUACACACCGCCCGUCACACCAUGGAAGUUGGCCAUGCCCGAAGUCGUUACUCCAACCCGCAAGGGAGGAGGACGCCGAAGGUGGGGCUGAUGACUGGGGUGAAGUCGUAACAAGGUA